rnacentral:rRNA from 1 species
UACGUAGGGGGCAAGCGUUGUCCGGAAUCAUUGGGCGUAAAGAGCGUGUAGGCGGCCCGGUAAGUCCGCUGUGAAAGUCCAGGGCUCAACCCUGGGAUGCCGGUGGAUACUGUCGGGCCCGAGUCCGGAAGAGGAGUGUGGAAUUCCUGGUGUAGCGGUGAAAUGCGCAGAUAUCAGGAGGAACACCAAUGGCAAAGGCAGCACUCUGGGACGUGACUGACGCUGAGACGCGAAAGCGUGGGGAGCAAACAGG